rnacentral:tRNA from 1 species
GCCAGUAUGGUGGCUAUGACCCUCGGCUUGUAACCGAGUGGGAUCGGGUUCGAAUCCCGAGUAAGACG